UUCAUUUCCUAAAAUGGAUCCCGAGCGAAACUAAUUGGUGACCCCUGGUUUAGUGUAUCACUUGUAAAAAUACGUUUAGACUUUAGGCCAAUGUAAUCGUCUGGCAAUCUGACUUUUUAUUUAUAAUGCCUUUUUAGAAAUAAAAAAUCUGACUGCCGGACGACAUCUGUGUGGCAAAAACGCCCUAAAUAAAAAUUAACAUGGCCUUAAAAGUAGCUUUGGUUACAUUCGAUUUAUUUAAUAAAAAAAAUAUUUUAAGCUUCAUAAACUUUAAAACUUAACCUCUAAACAAUGACAAAUCCCUAUGAAACUCUCGCUACGAAAGUUUACCUUAAAAAGACUUAAAAAUAGAUCUCCUAAAAAACUUACGUUAUUACUUUCAUUGUCAAGUUUAAAACUUUUGUACAUACAUCAAUUAUUCCAAUUCACCAAACCAAUUUUAGCCACCUAUUAAAACCUUUAUAAAUCGCAAAGUCUAUACUUGUUGAAUGUAAAGUUUGUUUUAAUAAAUUAGUAUAUGUUAUGUUACAACAUAAUAUUGUUUUAGUGAUUUAAGUGUGUACUCUAAGGAUACACAGUGCGUGUCCAUAGCUAUACUUACUAUGGGUUUCUGAAGUGUCGUCGAUACUUUUAUUGCAAAUGUUAGUGUCAAGCAAUCAAAAAAAAAUACCAAUUUUAUCUUAGAAACCGCCUAUUGAUCACCAGAAAAUAUUAAAAUAUAUAUUUUAAUGACUACGUGCUCAGCACAGGGAAAUGUUAAUGAGUAGCUUUAUACCAGUACCUUAUGAAGCGCUGGAAAAGCAUUGUAAUUAAAAAUAUUUAAUAUUUAAUAAUAUAUUAUAUUCCCUUUGCAGCUCAUCGUAUACUAUAUUUUACCAUUUUAGCGUUAGCUCCACCGCUAAAGGAGGAGUGUUAUUCUUACUAUGACAAUACAUAAAGGUAUAAAAAACAUAUCACCAAAUUGCAUAUUAUAUAAAAAAUCGGCUUUUGUAAUGUAACAUAAUAUUUUUAACUUGGCUUUAAAGUAAAAUAAUUUGCAUACUAUCUUUCAGAUGUUAUGCUACUCGCAACCGAUACAGGAUGUUUAAUAAUUUUGCUCUUUAUGAAACUAAUUUUAGGAAUUAUGAAAGCAAAAAUAUGUUUUACAUUGCCUACUCAUUUAAAACUUAGGUAUAUGCCUAGAAAAUAAAAUUCCUU